UACGUAGGGGGGCGAGCGUUUGUCCGGAUUUACUGGGCGUAAAGCGCGCGUAGGCGGAAGAUUAAGCGUGCCUUGAAAGCCCCCGGCUCAACCGGGGAAGGUGGGUGCGAACUGGUCUUCUUGAGGGCGAUAGAGGGGGGCGGAAUUCCUGGUGUAGCGGUGAAAUGCGCAGAUAUCAGGAGGAACACCGAUUGCGAAGGCAGCUCGCUGGGACGUAACUGACGCUGAGACGCGAAAGCGUGGGGAGCAAACAGG
rnacentral:rRNA from 1 species